rnacentral:misc_RNA from 1 species
AACGCACCUUGCGCUCCCUGGUAUUCCGGGGAGCAUGCCUGUUUGAGUGUCAUUAAAUUCUCAACCUUUACAGUUUUUACUAGCUGUUCAGGCUUGGAUGUGGGGGUUGCGGGCUUCUCACGAAGUCGGCUCUCCUUAAAUGCAUUAGCGAAACCUUUGUUGACCAGCUAUGGUGUGAUAAUUAUCUACGCUACAGUGAAUCAGCUUUAUUAUGGGGCUUUGCUUCUAACCGUCCUCUAGGGGACAACUCUUGACAUUUUGACCUCAAAUCAGGUAGGACUACCCGCUGAACUUAA